UACGUAGGGUGCAAGCGUUGUCCGGAAUUAUUGGGCGUAAAGAGCUCGUAGGCGGUCUGUCGCGUCUGCUGUGAAAACUCAGGGCUUAACCCUGAGCUUGCAGUGGGUACGGGCAGACUAGAGUGCGGUAGGGGAGACUGGAAUUCCUGGUGUAGCGGUGAAAUGCGCAGAUAGUCAGGAGGAACACCGGUGGCGAAGGCGGGUCGUCUGGGCCGUAACUGACGCUGGAGGAGCGAAAGCAUGGGGAGCGAACAGG
rnacentral:rRNA from 1 species